AUUGAACGCUGGCGGCAGGCCUAACACAUGCAAGUCGAGCGGGGUUUUCGGACCUAGCGGCGGACGGGUGAGUAAUGCGUAGGAAGCUACCCGAUAGAGGGGGAUACCAGUUGGAAACGACUGUUAAUACCGCAUAAUGUCUACGGACCAAAGUGCGGGACCUUCGGGCCACAUGCUAUCGGAUGCGCCUACGUGGGAUUAGCUAGUUGGUGAGGUAAUGGCUCACCAAGGCGACGAUCCCUAGCUGGUUUGAGAGGAUGAUCAGCCACACUGGAACUGAGACACGGUCCAGACGCCUACGGGAGGCAGCAGUGGGGAAUAUUGGACAAUGGGCGCAAGCCUGAUCCAGCCAUGCCGCGUGUGUGAAGAAGGCCUUCGGGUUGUAAAGCACUUUCAGUAGGGAGGAAGCGUUGUGUGUUAAUAGUACACAGCGUUGACGUUACCUACAGAAGAAGCACCGGCUAACUCUGUGCCAGCAGCCGCCGUAAUAC
rnacentral:rRNA from 1 species